CGUCACAUAGAUUCUAGAAUAUACUCGAUCCAGAGAUCUCUCUCGCUUCCCUUUCUCUGCUUCUAGCCUUACUUACUGCUCUUCAAUUCUGGUCAUCGUUCUCGAUUUCUCUGCUUUUGUUCGAGUUUGUCUUUGGUGUUUCUGUAUUUCUAAGUUAUAUGAUAAGUUCUUCUUCUCUUUUCUCCUCACUUUUCUCCACUCUCUCUUCUUCAAUGUUUCAAAUUCUUGGAAACGGAACUAUAAUGGUUGUUAUUUUCGUUCCUUCUUAAUUUUUUAGGUGUGCGUAUCAACAAUUGUAUGUGAUUUGCACAUGCAUGUUUGAAAUAGAAAUAGAUACCUAUAUGAUUUUGGUUAUUUGAAAUAAAUCAAAAUCCGGCUUUGCUCGAUAAUUAAAACUAAUUAGUAGCAUUUUUCCUCUUCAAAGUUAUGAAAUUGACAACAAAUUAUUUGAUUUAAUUUCAGUGAUGUUUUUUUUUCUUUCUCUUUGUUAAUUGGUAGGUGACGUUCAUUUAACUGGGUGUCCAAAUCUGGUUGUGUGGGUGAAUUUUCAAGGUUCAUAGUUCAUAUUGAAUAAUGGUUUGCCUUAUAUAAUGUGUUUCUCUUAGUUUUUUAGCAUUCUAAAAAGUAAUUCCCCCCCCCCCCCCCCCCCCCUGCUUUUUCUAAUAUUCAUGCUACUGAUUUAGCAUUGCAACAUCAUUAUGCACAAAAUGCGUGUAAGGUAUAUGAUUAUAUGCUUAAAACAAUUGAAUUAGUUUUUUUGGACGCUUUUUUUUUUUUUUGCAGGUCCCUACAAAGUACACUUUUUUUUCACUUCUAAUGGACAAUAUUGCAACUGAACGGGAAGUCGAUGAAAGUCAAGUAUGUCAAAACGUACACCACUACUAUGACCCUGCGGCUCGAAAAUAAAAGCCCUCAUCCUUUAUUCAACUGAUGGAAAAGAAAUGCCUCUUGAAGUGCAAGAAAGGUAUGUGCUAAUGUAUUUUUGGUCAAAACAACUUAAGGUUGUUUAGAAGGAAGUGACAAAAAAAGCUGGAGAUGAAUCCCCAAAAUCAAUUAUAGUAAUCUUAUUUUUCAGCAAUUGACUAUUACUUUUGUUUC